GCCAGGGUAGCUCAGUGGCAGAGCAACGGUUUCGUAAACCGUAGGUCAUGGGUUCAAAUCCCAUUCCUGGCU
rnacentral:tRNA from 2 species